rnacentral:rRNA from 1 species
UGAGGAAUAUUGGACAAUGGGUGAAAACCUGAUCCAGCCAUGCCGCGUGCAGGAAGACGGCCCUAUGGGUUGUAAACUGCUUUUGUAUGGGAGCAAUAAGCUCUACGCGUAGAGUGAUGAGAGUACCAUACGAAUAAGCAUCGGCUAACUCCGUGCCAGCAGCCGCGGUAAUACGGGGGGUGCAAGCGUUGUCCGGAAUCAUUGGGCGUAAAGCGUUCGUAGGCGGUAUGUCAAGUCUGGUGUUAAAGCCCGAGGCUCAACCUCGGUUCGGCAUUGGAUACUGGCAAACUAGAAUGUGGUAGAGGUAAAGGGAAUUCCUGGUGUAGCGGUGAAAUGCGUAGAUAUCAGGAGGAACAUCGGUGGCGAAAGCGCUUUACUGGACCAUUAUUGACGCUGAGGAACGAAAGCCAGGGGAGCAAAUG